UUAUUCUCCAUUAAUUUGAACUUCAUUCCCUUGAUCUUUAAAUAUAAUUAUUCCUUAAAUGUGGUAGAGAAAAUAAUAGGGUAAUGGACUUAGAGUAAAUGAAAUGGUAUACAUUAGGGAAAAUGAUAUUGUAUAUCCGCUUUCAAAAUAGUAGCGGAAUAUAUAUACAUUCUGUAUGUUAUAUUAAUCUACACAACUAGGUAAUUAUUCAUUUUAUAAGUGUCUACAGUGAUAGGGGUGUGCAUUCGACUU
rnacentral:lncRNA from 1 species